UAAAGGGCAGAAAUGUCAUCAGUUCAAAAUACUGAACUUCCUGAACUUGCUUUCAGCUAAAGGUGCAAUAUGACACCAGAAAGAUGUAGAAUAUCCCUGGAGGCUUUCUUUCCAACCCCAAGAACAAACUCCCCAAACAUCCCAAGAACAGUGCUCUUCCCCUCUGCACUCUCUGCUUCUUCCUGCCCCGUGAGUGGUCCGGUGCUUGCAGACUAGGCAUUUGUCUUGCAACUAUGAAGAGGAAAUCUACAAGACCAAAGACAGAAGGAGCUGGAAGAUGGAAGGAAUGGAAUUCCCAAUGAAAGCCUUGUACAUGGCAUUUUUUGAUAUUUGAAACAGAGCACAUUUCUAACAGAUAGAAUAUGGCACAUCUGGGAAGAGACCCACCAGAUAAAGCACAAUACUCCUGAAAAUGUAUCUAACAAAAUGAAACUAUUAGCUACCUCUUCCUAAAAUGGUAAGGGACUGCCAUUAAAUUUCCAGUGAAUGAGGGAUGAUAAAUGGAAAUUAACCGAGUUACUCAUUGUUAUGUAAAAUGAGCAAAAUAAUUUAUCAUUUCUAUUUGGGGUUCUGUCUGUGGUAUUUUAGAAAACCUAGGAAUAUAAGAGAAUUCCCAAGUUUUCGUACAACCUGAGUCUGCAAAGUGUGUCUAUUUUUUCUGUAGAAGAUUUUAAGUUCUUCAACUUUAAAUAGUACUUCCUUAGGUGUGUUUAGAAUCCUCAAUCUGGCUGAAAAUCAUAAUGUCAUAAUGUCAAUAUCAUAAUGUCCUAAUGUCAAUAUCAGCAACGUCAUAAUCCUCUAGGUCAUUGAGCCAAAGGUACAAUCAAACAAACAAUCACAGUCUUACAGUUCAAUUCAGCUCCUACUUCUGUGGUUCUUGCAUCUUUUAACACCUAGAAAUAAAUUUAGUACCUGGAUAAGGAACUAAUACCAAUAAUGCUAUUCACCCUGCAGGUUCCUUAACAUUUUGUUGUCUAGGCAGAUUGCAAUGCUAUACACUCCAGGUGAAUUGUGAAGAAUCUAUUAUGGACUCUUGAGAAUCUAAGAAUUGUGUGGCAGCCUAGUUGUUCUGAUUCCCAAGUCAUGCUGUUUCAUAGAUUCAAAUCUACCUUAGGUAAACUUGGCAUUUAUAAGUGACCUCUUUUAGGAAAUGUGGAUAUAUUUUUGUUAACAGUAAUAUGUAGUAAAAAAAAUGCUAAGAUUCAUAUCAGAAAAAGGUUUGACUUCUGUUAAUUAAAAUGCAAACACAUUUAAAGUAUAUACAUAAUACACAGUUGGA
rnacentral:lncRNA from 1 species